rnacentral:rRNA from 1 species
UACGUAGGGUGCAGGCGUUAAUCGGAAUUACUGGGCGUAAAGCGUGCGCAGGCGGUUUGUUAAGACAGGUGUGAAAUCCCCGGGCUUAACCUGGGAACUGCGCUUGUAACUGGCAAGCUGGAGUGUGGCAGAGGGGGGUGGAAUUCCACGUGUAGCAGUGAAAUGCGUAGAGAUGUGGAGGAACACCGAUGGCGAAGGCAGCCCCCUGGGCUAACACUGACGCUCAUGCACGAAAGCGUGGGGAGCAAACAGG